GAGGAAAGGUGCUAGGACACAUGGCUACCUAACAGAAAUCUCAGACUGAUAUGGUUUUGUGUUGUACGUAUGAAUGAGAGGAUUUAACUCAGUUCCGCGGACAAGGCAACAAUUCUCUGGAAUGCAGACAAGAUUGAUGGGUGAGUGCACAGAAAGAGUUGGGUGCCGCUGUGGGCACAGGCCUGGAAUACACAGUACCCAUGUCAUGAAGCAAGGUGAUGUGAAGUUCCUAAGGUGAUGUGAAGGCCCCAGCCCGGGAUGUGAAGUUCCUGAGGGUCUGUGCACUCUGGAAGCACAGCUGGGGCAGAACUCCACCAGUUGUCUCCACACACAUGCGCUCUGAUGGACCACACAGAAAAAAACAAAUGCAACACCUAGAUCCAGGAAGAGAGGCCCCUUCUGGAAUAGUCCUUCUGCUACCUUGGGACAAAGCAUCAUGAUCACUGUAAAGUAGAAAUGAUUAAUAUCACAAAGUUGGUACUGAAGAGUAAAUGGUGCAAUUUGGAUGUGCAAGUCAGUAAAUUGAUAAUUGGCACUCUUGAAUGCAAAAUAGAAACUAGAUUCUCAACUAUACUGAAGCUUCCAUUAUCCAGAAUGUCACUGCAUAUACUUGGUGAAUUAUAAAGUCAAACAAGAAAUUCUUCUAACUUUGUCCUUUCUUGUCAAAAAUCCUCUCAUUAAUAUGCUUUCAAUGUGCAAAGUAAACAACGUUGCAUUGAUUGUGUUUUUCAAGGUCUAAAUAUUCAGUAUAACUAGUCCUGAAUAUUUAAGAGAUUUAGUUGGAUGUAUAUAAGAUAUAACUGAAGGUUCUUUUUUCUUUUUUAGUUCAUUUUGUUUUACUGUAAUGCUUUUCCUACAGUUAAAAUGAGUAAAACAUUCUUAAUUGAAGGCUUAUGUUAGUUAACUGUGAUUUCAGUUUAUAGAAGCUUUUCUAUAUAAACUCCAGUCCUUGUCAUAGAGAAAAAAAAAUGAAUGAUUUUCAUAUUUAGCAAUAGAAAGCAAGGAGAUUAACAAGUUCCCCCUUCACAAUAAACUAAACCAUGAAGGGCUCAAGCCCAGCAGAUCUAUAAUGACAGCUUACAUUUGUUGUAUUGUCUUUGUAAUUUGUGUGCUAUAUUACUUGGUACACUAGUAUACUGUAAAGUUCUAAAUUGGAGAAACUCUGAGAGUCAAGUAUUUUUAAAUCUACAUUUUACAGAUGAGAAAAUGGAAACUCAGCGAAAUGAGUCUCUAAAAACAGUUAUUAAAGCAAAUCUGAGACUUAGACUUUCUAAUAGCCCAGGAAGGAAAUUUAUUACUUUAUCCACAUUCCCUUAAGGUCCUUCUUAUUAAUAAGGGACAAUUCCCAUAUAUUAAGUUGGUAAAGGAUAUUGUUAAAAAGUAUUUAGUUUUGCUACAGUAUGUAAAACUUAAAGACUGUCUCUGUAUGACUUGUGCAGUUGCCUGCUACACAGAUGUCAAUAUCUGUGAGGUUUGCAAUUGGACCAUCUGUUCUUCAAGGGUAUUUGUGAAUUGAUAGUCCUCUCUGCAACGCACCAUUUGCUGUUCUUUGUGUUUUCACUACAUUUCACAGUCUAUACACUGUGGAUAUAAAACAACCACAGAAAUAAGGAGAGAAAGUUGAUUUGAAGUGUGGAUAACGCCAAAUGUGGUAUCAAACAAAUUAGAAGACUGUAGGAAAUCCAAUUAAAAUUACUUUCACACAGCAAGGUCAAUAAUACCUAUUUAUAAGAUGUUGGAAAAACAGGUCAGAAUGGUUGACACCCAGUUAAUUGUUACCUUUCCUGUUUGAUGGAUUUAGUUCCAGACUGUGAGUCUGAAAAAUGAAGGAUGGAAAAGAUGAGACCUCCAUGAGAGGGGAGAGAAACUGCAUGUAUGCCCAAUUAUAUUGACAAGGUUGCAUAAGAUUCUUGGUUUUAUUCAAUUGAAAUAAAAUCUCUCUACUAUUUGGUAAUGACAGGCACCACUGCUAAGUCCACUGAAGCAUAGCUGGAAAAUCCAGCUGCCCUCACAUCUGUUUUGCAUGACCUUUUAAUCAUCAGCAAAUACUUCUGCCACUAGGAAUGGAAGUCUGGGUAGGAUAUGGCUAUGUGACUUUCUAAGCUAUAGCUAUGGAAAACAUUGAAACAAAAUUCACGCAUGCCGUGUACUGUGCCCAGAAAUUGUAGACUUGUCUGGGUGGUGUUAAGGAUUUGACCUAUUGAGAGUACUCACACCUGCUUCUUACAUUCAAGUUGUUAAUCCUUCGUUCAGAAAAGGAGACAUAUUAGGAAAUAUGUGAAUGGACUGCUGUGACUUAAAUCUUAAGUGUUUAGGCUCUUAAACUGGUUCAAACUAAAAUAACAUUGAUGAAAUAGUGUUUUAGACUUCUGUUACAUUUAUUAUAUUUCAGAAACCUGUGUGAGUUGACUUUACUCUCAUUUAAGAUCUAGGACUUUGUUGGAACGCUUGCCUGAGUUCUAAGUUGUAACAAAGGGUCCUGAAAAUAUUUAGUUACCCAAAAUUUUAAAAACAAAAA
rnacentral:lncRNA from 1 species